rfam:Claviceps purpurea 20.1, WGS project CAGA01000000 data, contig: scaffold00098
GACCGUGUGGCUCAAUGGCAGAGCGUCUGACUACGAUCCCCGUAUUGGUUUAUCAGUACGAGCUAGGUGUUAUCAGAAGGUCGCAGGUUCGACCCCUGUCUCGGUCA